rnacentral:lncRNA from 1 species
GCCUCCCAAAUGCUGAGAUUACAGGCUUGUGCCACCACAGCCCACAUAAAAUGGCUCUGUCUUAGAAAAACCCAGUCAUGGGGGACAAGAACCAGCUAACAAAGGUGGAAGGUGUUGUGAGACUCAAGAAAGAGGCAGAAAUAUCCAGAGUAGCAGAAAGUGCCACUUCUGAGAGAUAUGAGGUCAGAAUGUGCCCCGGGAGACAACAAGACAGGUGGAUUCCAGCCUCCCAAGGCCAGAUGAAGUGGUUAGGAGACACCCCGAGCUUUGCCUGAGCACUGCAUAAUCACACUGCAGCGUACGCACAGGGCAGCACAACUGUGACAACGGCCAGCAGACACCCAACCAACUGCCAUGAUCGGUUUGCAUUUACAAAUGUUCACAACGCGGGGUCCAUUCUUAUCAGUGAAAGUUCUCAACUUCAGUUUUCAUAAGUCCAGAAUUUACCAUACAUUCAUAUACAUGUAACUCACGUUUAAACAGUUAAUAUCUGGUAUGUACAUGUGUACAAAUGUAACUCAUGUCUAAAUGGCUAAGAUCUCUUUGGCUUUCUCUCAUGCUUGGACAAAUUCUCAUUUUUCAGCUCCUUGACCUUCAUUUUUCUUAUUAUAUUUAAUUGACUUUUUAAUAUUAAAUUUUGCUUGAAAGAAUGAUUCCGAGUUGGAAAGCAAUGAAGUAGUCACAUACUGGAACAAUGCAUUAUGUCACAUUUAAUUUGAUCCAUAAUUGGAUAGCAAAUACUAGUUUUCCUCAUUAUUUUUCAUAUCAACACAAUAAAAUACAAU